GACGAACGCUGGCGGCGUGCCUAAUACAUGCAAGUUGAGCGCUGAAGGUUGGUUCUUGUACCGACUGGAUGAGCAGCGAACGGGUGAGUAACGCGUGGGGAAUCUGCCUUUGAGCGGGGGACAACAUUUGGAAACGAAUGCUGAUACCGCAUAAAAACUUUAAACACAAGUUUUAAGUUUGAAAGAUGCAAUUGCAUCACUCAAAGAUGAUCCCGCGUUGUAUUAGCUAGUUGGUGAUGUAAAGGCUCACCAAGGCGAUGAUACAUAGCCGACCUGAGAGGGUGAUCGGCCACAUUGGGACUGAGACACGGCCCAAACUUCUACGGGAGGCAGCAGUAGGGAAGCUUCGGCAAUGGACGAAAGUCUGACCGAGCAACGCGGCGAGAGUGAAGAAGGUUGUCGGAUCGUAAAACUCUGUUAGUAGAGAAGAACGUUGGUGAGAGUGGAAAGCUCAUCAAGUGACGGUAACUACCCAGAAAGGGACGGCUAACUACGUG
rnacentral:rRNA from 1 species